GUCCAAGGCCAUACCACGCUGAAUGCAUUCAGUCUCUCCUGAUCUUGGAACCUAAGCAGGGUCAGUGUCUGCUUAGUAUUUGGAUGGGAGACUGUGGUACUUUGUGGUCU
rnacentral:rRNA from 1 species